UAGGGAAUAUUGCGCAAUGAACGAAAGUUUGACGCAGCGACGCCGCGUGAGGGAUGAAGGUCUUCGGAUCGUAAACCUCUGUCAAGAGGGAAGAAGUGUAGCAGCUCUAAUAUAGUUGUUAUUUGACGGUACCUCUGAAGGAAGCACCGGCUAACUCCGUGCCAGCAGCCGCGGUAAUACGGAGGGUGCAAGCGUUAAUCGGAAUUACUGGGCGAAAAGCGCGCGUAGGCGGAAUUUUAAGGCAGAAGUGAAAUCCCCCGGCUUAACCGGGGAAUAGCUUUUGAUACUGAGAGUCUUGAGUUCAGGAGAGGGUGGCGGAAUUCCAGGUGUAGGAGUGAAAUCCGUAGAGAUCUGGAGGAACAUCAGUGGCGAAGGCGGCCACCUGGACUGAUACUGACGCUGAGGUGCGAAAGCGUGGGGAGCAAACA
rnacentral:rRNA from 1 species